rnacentral:tRNA from 1 species
UUUCCGGUUGUCUAAUGGCUUUGGACGCUCGUAUGGAAUACAAGAGAUCCAGGUUCAAGUCCUGGCCGAGAUA